rnacentral:rRNA from 1 species
AUAUCAUUAGGCGGAGGAAAAGAAACGAACAAGGAUUCCCUAGUAACGGCGAGUGAAUGGGGAUGAGCCCAGCACUGAAUCCCUCGGCAUAACUGCUGUUGGGAAAUGUAGUGUUAAGGAGAUUCGAUCCGGUACGGACGACCGUUCAAGUCCCCUUGACAGGGGCCACAGCCCACAGACGGUGCAAGGCCAGUGUAAUGGUGCGUCCGAAUCGGUAUGGUUCUCCGUGGAGUCGUGUUGCUUGAGAGUGCAGCACAAAGCGGGUGGUGAACCUCAUCUAAGGCUAAAUAUAACCACGAGACCGAUAGCGCACAAGUA